CACGAGGGCGUGCAGAGUGUGCUCCUGCCGUCUUCGGUUUACUGAGGGUGCUACUCUGUUACGGCAGAAACCACCAGCCUGGCGUGCUUCUGAGUUGCAGAAUUUGACCAUCGCCCAAUCCCCGCCUGGGCCUGUCGCGGGAGCAAAAGUUGUGCACCGAUUGCGUUUUCAAGAACACGGGCAGAGAGAGACUGAUUGAAAUUUUGGAGUGCGAAUCCUUGAGAUGCUUCAGAGUGCCUUUGCUUUUACUAUCUGGAUCCAAUGAUCUCCGUAAAUUUAGUGUAAACGUUGCUUAAGAGGAGCUGGAGAGAUGGCUCUAGCCUUUAAAAGCGGUUGCUGCUAACUUUCAGAGGCCAGGUUUGGGUCCCAGCACCCGACUGCUAACCACCUUCUGUAACCUUCAGUAAGAGCAGUUCCCGCUUUCUUUUGGCCUCGGAUGGGGUCCAGCAUAAACCUGGUCCAGCUUAAACUCACGCCCCACCACACACACACAAUACAUCUUAAAACUGCUUAAGAUAGCUGUUCAUCAUAAAUCAAGGGGCGGUGGGGGUGGGACCAGUAGCUAACCUCUUAGAAUAAAAUAAAAUAAAAAGGUUAAAAUA